rnacentral:lncRNA from 1 species
GGUUUGAUCUCUAGAGACAACAUUUUUUUGUAUUUUCAUAACUGGAUAGUGUGUCCCUCUUUUCCUCUCUAUUAUAAUGAUCACAAAAAUAAUAAAUGUAGUCUUACUACCUAUAUUUACUAACAUAAUUGAGGGAUUUUUUUUUUUUUAGUUUUCUUUACUUUUCGUUUUAACUUGUAUUAUUUUAAACAUAACCUAAUUGUUC